rnacentral:rRNA from 1 species
AUUGAACGCUGGCGGCAGGCCUAACACAUGCAAGUCGAACGAGGGGCGGACGGGUGAGUCAUGUCUGGGAAACUGCCUGAUGGAGGGGGAUAACUCCUGAAAACGGUCGAUAAUACCGAAUACCCUCGGAUGUGCCCAGAUGGGAUUAGCUAGUAGGUGGGGGAACGGCUCACCUAGGCGCCGACCCCUAGCUGGUCUGCGAGGAUGACCAGCCACACUGUAACUGAGACACGGUCCAGACUCCUACGGGAGGCAGCAGUGGGGAAUAUUGCACAAUGGGCGUAAGCCUGAUGCAGCCAUGCCGCGGGUAUGAAGAAGGCCUUCGGGUUGUAAUGUACUGUCAGCGGGGAGGCGUUACCCGCAGAAGAAGCACCGGCUAACUCCGUGCCAGCAGCCGCGGUAAUUC